AUUCCAUGGUGAGGGCAAUCUCUCUAAUAAGCCUUGAAUCUCUCCCAUCAAGCCUUGAAUGCUUUCAUUGACCCUGAACGAACGAAGAGAUCUUGGCUCUCAAAUC
rfam:Arabis alpina cultivar Pajares chromosome 7, whole genome shotgun sequence.